GAGGAUAUGAUAGCUGGAGCUGCAGCAGCCAUCCUGAUGUCUGUCGUCAACAAGAAUGAAAAGCAAGGCCUCCAUAGUAGUGAUGGUGGAAAAGAAAGUGAGAAGAUUUGGAACCUCAUGGAAUUGGUGAAUACCUGGAGAGACACCAUCUGAUCCAGAACUUAUUAUCAGAGGAGAAAAUAGUCUCCUGUUUGUUCCUGUGUCUGAUCAUCAUGUGUGUGAUUCCUGUGUGAAUUUCCCAGAAAACUGGAGAUGAAGCAUCAGCCUUUUUGUAGCUGAUGUUGAGGCUUAUCUGCUGGGUCACCUUGUUGACAUAUGACAGUGACCACAUUGCAAUGGCUGCACCUUUCAUCCUCCUUCAGCUUCUGACUCCUGUGCCAGCAUUUCGAUCAUUCAGACUGAAUUUGGAUUAGAGUCUGCGACAUGGUUCUUACUGGAAUCUCCAGCCUUCUGUCCUGUCCUGUAGCGACUAGACCUGCCGCCCCACAACUGUGUGAGCCACUUCUCAUUGUCUCACAUCCAGAUGGCCAACGCUUCCUGCGUGAUAGAAGCCCUGAUGCCAGGCUCACCCCAUCUCCAGGUGCUUUGCCAGGUGAUCUCUGCUGUCCCCUGGUGGCCACUCCACACUGACUCUGGGAGGCUCGGGGAACUCCUUUGUCCAGGUGAUGAAGAACCCACAGCUCAGAACCUGAUUCGCUGAUCCCUUGACUGCUGGCUCCAGAGGAGGAAUUGCUCUUUUCUCCAAUGCCCUGUCAGCCUCAAGACCAGGCAGGAGGAGAUCAGAUUAUCCAUGAAAACAAGAACAGGCUCAUCUGAGGAAGACAAGGUAA